UCACCUAAACCACAGCUCUUGUAACAAGUAAAUGGCUAUAUCUGUGGUGUCCAAUCCCUCAUCUUAAUGAUGUUAAGAAAAUGUUUGUUUAACUAUGAAUUGAAAUUGUAUUCUGAGCCCUGCAGCUUUUCAGGUGAAGUGACAGAACCAGCCUUGCUACACUGGGGCAAAGUAGGUGGGCUCCAGGGCCUGAGUUCAGAUGGGCUGAAUUUCACUUAAUUCGCUCAAUUGUGUUUCCUUUAAGGCAUUUCUGAAGGCCUGGGGCCAGUCAACCUGAAAUACUGAGCACUGGGAUCUAAAUGGAAUUUAGGCUGCUUUUGGCUCCCUCUUUGUAUGUGCUUUAAGGCAUAUCAAAGGAGAAUUAACCUUAAGCAGGACAACUAAGAGCCCUGCAGUUAUGGAAUUCCCUAGUAAGACCAGACCUUCCAUCUUUUUCCUCAAUCACAGCAAGGCAGGUCUCAAAGACACAACAAAAAUGUUUCAUUUGGAAAAUAUCAAAAGGACCUGUUUCAGAAUUUCCAAAGUAAACUCAUUCUGGAGGAGGUCGAAGUAAAACAUCUGUCAGUCUCGUAAUCUCUUUCUCUCCUUCCACUGAGAAAUGGAGUUUAUGGGAAGGUACAGUUCAUUAAGAAAAGGAAAUUCGCCCCCUUUUCUUUACUAUUUCUGAAAACCAGGCCAUCAUACUGAAGAGCAUGAUUUGCAGAUUUAGUGGGAAACAUGCCUAAACCAGGCAAGAAGAAAAAUUCCAUGGAAAUCAACUUCCAAGUCAAACAGUUUCUGUAGGUCUGUGUUUGAAAUCUUCCCCCUGGAAGCCUAAGUUUAGGCAUCAGCUAAUUCUGGUCUUAUUAAAACAGCAUGAGAAGGAAAAACCAGCCAGACAACUCUGUAUAACUGUUGUAAUGUAAAUUAAUUCUAGUACUGUGAACACCCUAGGGUUACAUUCUUGUAACAUAAAUAUCAAUAAAGGAAAAAAAAAAAAAGCCUACAAUUAGUAAAUAGCUUUUUCUAAAAAAAGGUGAUUUUAUUGAGUUUUAAUAUACAGCUUUAAUAUGUUAGGGUAAUCAUACAAGAUCUCUCUUGUGUUCAAUUUACACAUUACAAUACAGACGUGAGCUAAAAUCUUUUGUUUUAAUGUACAAAAGGAAUCCAAUGUUGUCCACUAGCAGCUUUGAACUUGGCAAGAAAGGUUCUAGAGACUUUAAGUGCAGUAACAACCAUACAGAAUACAAAAUGAAUACAAAGACUUUUCGCCAAGGUAUAUAAACAUUUGAAAACAAAUGGUGCCUGCUCCACAGGGCAGACAACUAGCAAAUUAAAAACGUCACUGACCAAUGUUCCAGAGUAGGAGGA